rnacentral:rRNA from 1 species
UGGGGAAUAUUGCACAAUGGGCGCAAGCCUGAUGCAGCAACGCCGCGUGAGGGAUGACGGCCUUCGGGUUGUAAACCUCUUUUAGCAGGGAAGAAGCGAAAGUGACGGUACCUGCAGAAAAAGCGCCGGCUAACUACGUGCCAGCAGCCGCGGUAAUACGUAGGGCGCAAGCGUUAUCCGGAAUUAUUGGGCGUAAAGAGCUCGUAGGCGGUUUGUCGCGUCUGCUGUGAAAUCCCGAGACUCAACCUCGGGUCUGCAGUGGGUACGGGCAGACUAGAGUGCGGUAGGGGAGAUUGGAAUUCCUGGUGUAGCGGUGGAAUGCGCAGAUAUCAGGAGGAACACCGAUGGCGAAGGCAGAUCUCUGGGCCGUAACUGACGCUGAGGAGCGAAAGGGUGGGGAGCAAACAGGCUUAGAUACCCUGGUAGUCCACCCCGUAAACGUUGGGAACUAGUUGUGGGGUCCAUUCCACGGAUUCCGUGACGCAGCUAACGCAUUAAGUUCCCCGCCUGGGGAGUACGGCCGCAAGGCUAAAACUCAAAGGAAUUGACGGGGACCCGCACAAGCGGCGGAGGAUGCGGAUUAAUUCGAUGC